rnacentral:lncRNA from 1 species
ACCUUUGAGUGGAGUAGGAAGCACAGGAAACCCCAAGUGCCAGAUGUGCACAGUCCAGAUGUUCAUUCAGAAGAAAAGAAAGGUUUCUGGAGACGCUCCAUAAUCCCGAGCAGACUGAGCAUGACAAUCCCUCCCUUCUGUUUAUGCCAAAUUUUGUUGGAGAAGGGACAGGGAGCACGUUCCCACCUAAGGAUUCUGAGCUGUAGAAUAGAAGUGACAUAUCAUUUAAGGAACUCAGGUUUCUGACUCUGUGCUGAGAUCAGGUGGCACAGCCGAAUCCCACACAGGUCAUUCCAGUGGCACACAGGGAUCUGACCUUGGUGACUCAUUUCUGGUACAUUAUUAGAAUAUACUGUAGCACUGUGCUAAUUACAUCAAACGUCAACUACUCUUAGCGAUACUCACCAUUGCCUAGUAAUACUGACAUGAUUAUCAUUUCUGGGUCCGAUUUUUUUUCAUCAUGGCAACAGAAAUUGUUUGACAUUAAAUAAAGUUAUGAUUACAAUUCUUUUUUUUUUUUAAAUCCAGACACAUUUAGAGUUUGAAUGUAAAGCUCUUAUCCAACUGCAUAGAUUUCUGAGUUCUAAACGCCCCAUUCAGGUAGCAGGACUGCAGUAGACCGGAGUCGGCCUCAGCUCCGGGGGGCCUUUUUGUCUCACUUGAGGUGGGAAGGACAGAGGCUUGAUGGG